UGGGCCGGGCGCUCCUGGGCCGGGCGCUCCUGGGCCGGGCGCUCCUGGGCCGGGCGCUCCUGGGCCGGGCGCUCCUGGGCCGGGCGCUCGCGAAAGACGCUUCCGCGGCACCCUGCAGCCCCAGUCCAGGCGAGGAGGCCGAGAGGAGAGGCAAUUCGCUUCUGAGAACGCUCAUUGAGUGCCGAUGUGAAGGCCACGGCACUGAACGACUUGGCCCUGCACUAGGUGGAGCUGGGAGAUAGGCUCACUUGCUUGUAAGGAGCUUGAAGGCUGUGUGGGAGACCAAUUCAGAGGAAAGAAACAGUAUGAGAGAUGGGGUCUUGCUGUUGUCUAGGCUGUGAGCACAGGAGAUGGAGAUCAAGUGAUCCUCCUCCCUUGGCUUCCCAAAAUGCUGGGAUUAAAGACAUGAACCACCACACCCUGCCCACUCUGACCCUUUCUGCCUCCUGCUUCCAUUCUUAAAAACAUUUGU